rnacentral:tRNA from 1 species
GGAGAGAUGUCCGAGUGGCUUAAGGGGCGCGCUUGGAAAGCGCGUGUGGGGGUGACCCCACCGGGGGUUCGAAUCCCCCUCUCUCCGCCA